rnacentral:lncRNA from 1 species
GAGAAAUCUCUUCACCAGUCAUUAAAACUGUCUUUUCAUUAGAGUUGCACAGCUUCUGCAUCUCACGUUCCCAGAUCCAAAGUUUUCUUCAAAUCAUGAGAACUGAAUCUGUUGCACACCGGAGAUCUGCUGAUACGAUGUUGUGUAGACCAUAACGUUCUGCUGCUGGCCGUCUGUAGUUAUUAAGCCUGCUGGCAACUGAUUAGUAAAUGCUUCUUCUGUGAGCUCCUCACUUAAACCAUCUCCAGUUGUAACUGUUCCCCCAAUUCCCUUUUCUCCUUUCAUUGCCUCUCUGAAUUUUUGGAGGUAUAACUUCAGAGGCUCAACAUAGCUAUCAAAUCCCAAGGUAGACAUGGCAAAGAGAAUAUCCUCUCCAUUGAUGGUCUUUCUUUUCUCUUGGUGACACCUCUCACUUGCUUCUGACGUUAUAAAGCUGAUGAAUUCACUUACACACUCUUGCACACAUUCUUUUGCAUCCUUAGCGAUCUUUCCUGUUUGGGGUAUGGCGUUUUUCAUUAUCCUUGCCACGUUUGCAAUCGGAAGAUAGAUGUCUUGUUCUCUAAAACUCUCUUUUGAACCAUUUGUAUCUUCAUGAUCAUUCAUGCUGUCUUCUGUGUCAUCAUGAGGCUGUAUCACGUAGUGACUGCCACCAAUGUAAUCUCCAGCAAUUCCUAACUGAGAAGCAUCCGUCGUGGAGCUAUCACCAUCCAUCUCCAGUGCGGCCCUGGUUGGCUCCCUCCGCAAAUCGGCUGUUUGGUUGGACAGAAAAUGGCUGCGAAGGAACCAGUCCCAGCGCGGAGCCCCGCUUCCCGCAGCCGGCCUGCCCUCCCUCCGCGCCGCCUCCCCGCCACGCGCGCCGGCUCUUCCCCUCAGCGCGCUCCCUCCCUCCGCGCUGCCGCCGCGGCCUUCCCGGCCCUGCCCGCCUCCUUUAUGGGGACGGAGGCGGCGGGCGCAGGGCGGGGGAGCGCCCCCGGUAAAAGGGGUCUGAACCCAGCGGUGCAGGACUGCCGUUGCUGCUGUUUGCUUGGUUGUUGGUGGAGGCUUCUCACAGCCUGCCUUGGCUGCCCUACACCUGCCCUUGGCUCAUCGGUUGAGAGGAAAAUAAAUCAUGUGCCCCCCCGGUGACUUUGCUGCCUUCCUCAUCACACACGGACUGAGAAAGAAUCACAGAAUCAUAGGGGUUGGGAGGGACCUCUAGAGAUCACCUAGGCCAACCUCUGGCUAAAGCAGGUUCCCCACAGUGGGUUCCGCAGGAAAGCAUCCAGGCAUGUUUAGAGGAUCUUCACAGAAGGAAACUCCACCACCUCUCUGGGCAGCUUGUUCUGUCACCCACACGGUAAAGGGAUUCUUCCUCAUGUUUGUAUGAAGCUUCCCAUGUUGAGGUUUUUGCCCCUCGUUCUUUCACUGCACACCACACCACUGAAAGGAUAAGAAAGAUGGGGUCAGUAAAGGAGGAGGAAGGCCCACCCUUGGUCCCAGCCAUGUGGUGGAACAAAGCCUGGGGUGAGGGGUUCUGUGGCUCAGCCUUGCCCUUCCCUCUGCAGAAGUAAAAUCCCACUGCAGACCUGGAAGGAUCGUUUCCCCUGGUGACAUGGCCUGGAGAGCCUGGUUUCCUCUCACCUUCAGGUUUUGUUUUAGUUCUUAAAAUUACAGGCUGCUGGGUGAAGAUGAUGGGCUGGCUUCUCCUCUGAGACUUAUAAACCUCCCUGGUGAAGAGUUUAUAUGAAACACUUC